GGUUGAUCCUGCCAGUAGUCAUAUGCUUGUCUCAAAGAUUAAGCCAUGCAUGUCUAAGUAUAAGCAACUUUGUACUGUGAAACUGCGGAUGGCUCAUUAAAUCAGUUAUAGUUUAUUUGAUGGUCAAUUGCUACAUGGAUAACUGUGGUAAUUCUAGAGCUAAUACAUGCAAUCAAACCCCGACUUCUGGGAGGGGUGUAUUUAUUAGAUAAAAAACCAACGCGGUUCGCCGCUCUCUUGGUGAUUCAUAAUAACUUCUCGAAUCGCAUGGCCUUGUGCCGGCGAUGCUUCAU
rnacentral:rRNA from 1 species